rnacentral:misc_RNA from 1 species
GAAUACAAGCUCUUGAAAGGGGGCAUUAGGGUCUCACCCCUAGUAAGCCAACGACAGUCCCUGCGUUGCACUCCACACUUACGUUGUACACACGCGGGACCCGAUGGGCUAUCGUUCACCCACCUACAGCUGGACUCACGGCGCCGCGUGGCCAUUUAGCUGGAUUGUGCGGACGAACACGCUUGCGCACCUCGCGUGACCGGUUAGUACUCUUACCACUCUCCGCCUACUUGGUCGUUAGCGCUGUCUUGGGCAUUCCUGUGGGGGCCGUUCGACGCUCCACGGGAACUCUCCUGUGUGACAUCUACGGUGAUGGGGCCGUUUCGCGUGGGCUGGUCGUUUGGACUGCUUCGGCUGUCACCCGGCGCCCGCCUUUCAG